AUGAAUUGAAACAGAGGAUACCGAACGUGUUUUCAAGUAAAUAUUUGAAAGAGACGGAAGAAAUUGCAAUCUUGAAAGUUGGGGAGGACAUGACUAUGGAAGUGGGGUUCAGGUUUGAUGCUAAUGCCAAAGGAAUGGUUUUUCAAAAUGGUUGGAAGAAUUUUUCACAAAAAUAUAAUUUACAAAUUGGUGAUAUUUGUAAAUUUGUGAUGACACAAUCCAAACCACUUUUAUUUUCCAUUGCUAUUACUCGAGCCAAAAUGGAAUCAAAACCUAAGAAGUUCCAAGGUGUCUCUUCGGGUGAUGAUACAAUUCCAAAAAGAAAAAGCAUUGGAGAAAGUUCUAGAGGUAGAGGUCGCAAAAAAAAACAUGUUUCCAAAGAUAUGGUGUGAAGGUCCAAAUUUGUUGGGAGUUCAAUGCACCAACCUUAACAAGAGAGAGUUGUAGCACUAGACUUGCA